rnacentral:rRNA from 1 species
UACAGAGGUCUCAAGCGUUGUUCGGAUUCAUUGGGCGUAAAGGGUGCGUAGGCGGCGCGGUAAGUCGGGUGUGAAAUCUCGGGGCUUAACUCCGAAACUGCAUUCGAUACUGCCGUGCUUGAGGACUGGAGAGGAGACUGGAAUUACGGUGUAGCGGUGAAAUGCGUAGAUAUCGUAAGGAAGACCAGUGGCGAAGGCGGGUCUCUGGACAGUUCCUGACGCUGAGGCACGAAGGCCAGGGAGCAAACGGG